AAGACUAUAGACCUGCGGAGUACCUGCGGAAGGAUCAUUACUGAGUGAGGGCCCUCUGGGUCCAACCUCCCACCCGUGUUUAUUGUACCUUGUUGCUUCGGUGGGCCCGCCGCAAGGCCGCCGGGGGCUUCCGCCCCGGGCCCGCGCCCACCGGAGACAAACUGAACUCUGUCUGAAUGUUGCAGUCUGAGUAAAAACUUAAUAAGUUAAAACUUUCAACAAUGGAUCUCUAGAUCGGAA
rnacentral:misc_RNA from 1 species